rnacentral:rRNA from 1 species
AUGAAUCUUUCCCCCUUUCCUUCAACUCAAAACCAUGAAUUAGCGAUGAUGGCUUUGGACCUGCCCAUGAAAACGAUUGCAGCAAUGAACAAGAUUUGUAGAGGAUUCCUGUGGUGCAGAAGGAAGGAGGCGAAUGGUGGUAACUGUGCAGUUGCUUGGGAGACUGUGUGCACCCCGAAGUGGGCUGGUGGUCUCGAUCUGCCUAACCUACGCUGGAUGAAUGUGGCAAUGCAAACUAGAUGGCCAUGGCUUAAGAGAACGGACAAUACCAGACCUUGGAAGGAAUUUAACAUCAAAGUCCCCAAAGACUCGUUGCUACUCUUCAAAGCAGCCACAAGGAGCACUGCAUGGGAUGGUCAAUCGACCUUGUUCUGGGAGGACCGCUGGUUGAAUGGACAAAGGGUUCAGGAGGUCGCUCCCUUGAUCUACAACAUGAUCCCGGCGCGGAUUCGCACUAAUCGGACAGUCCGGGAGGCCAUGGGGGAUGGAGCAUGGGCACAGGAUGUGGGUCCGAACUUAGGAUUGGAUGCUUUGCAUGAGUUUCUUCUACUGUGGCAUGAGGUCGUCGCUUGGGAGCCUACGGAUGACGUGCAAGACGAAUUUUCUUGGUCUUGGGAGGAUAAUGGGCAGUUCACGGUUCGAUCGGCAUAUGCGGCAAAGUUCUGGCCGAGAGAAGUGGCACCCGCAGCGGAUCUCACUUGGAAAUCAAGGGCGCCCUCACAAUGCAAAAUUUUCACAUGGUUUGCCCUGCGGGAUAGAUGCUGGACGUAG